CUAUCAGCGUGUUUAGCAAACAGCUUAUAAACUAAACAUUCACAUUUCAUUAACAAUUGCUUUCUGGCAGCUUAUAUAAAGCAGUAGUUUAGGGGAAUAUUCCAUUGUACGAAUAUUCGACAAUAUGAAGGCAUACGUGUUCCUCGUCGUUCUAGCCGUUGUAGUGCAGCUGUGCCGCUCUGCGCCGACACCAGAUGAUCAACAUGCGGAUGCUAAGUCAACCCCUUCUGUCACUGCUGCUGACACCGUAGAUCCUGCAGCUGACAACACACCAGCAGCAGUCACAGAGGUGAAAGCAGCUGAGACUCCUGCAGCCCCUACUGCCAAAACUGAAGGUCAACCGGCCUAGGAAAAGAAAGCCUAAACAUAAUAGCAGCUAAUUACACAUUCAUAAAUAAACAAAUCAUAGACAAA